rnacentral:rRNA from 1 species
UACGUAGGGGGCAAGCGUUGUCCGGAUUUAUUGGGCGUAAAGCGCGUGUAGGCGGCUGGGUAGGUCCGCUGUGAAAACUCGAGGCUCAACCUCGAGACGUCGGCGGAAACCAUCCAGCUAGAGUCCGGAAGAGGAGAGUGGAAUUCCUGGUGUAGCGGUGAAAUGCGCAGAUAUCAGGAAGAACACCCGUGGCGAAAGGCGGCUCUCUGGGGACGGUACUGACGCUGAGACGCGAAAAGCGUGGGGGAGCGAACAGGAUUAGAACUACCGUAGUCAGUC